AAUCAACGCUGGCGGCGUGCCUAACACAUGCAAGUCGAACGAGAAAGGGGACUUCGGUCCCUGAGUACAGUGGCGCACGGGUGAGUAACACGUGACUUAUCUACCCUCGAGUGGGGAAUAACUUCGGGAAACCGAGGCUAAUACCGCAUAAUACCCACGGGUCAAAGGAGCAAUUCGCUUGAGGAGGAGGUCGCGGCCGAUUAGUUAGUUGCGGGGUAAUGGCCCCACCCAAGACGGUGAUCGGUAUCCGGCCUGAGAGGGCGCACGGACACACUGGAACUGAAACACGGUCCAGACUCCUACGGGAGGCAGCAGUGGGGAAUUUUGCGCAAUGGGGGAAACCCUGACGCAGCAACGCCGCGUGGAGGAUGAAGUCUCUUGGGACGUAAACUCCUUUCGAUCGGGACGAUUAUGACGGUACCGGAAGAAGAAGCCCCGGCUAACUUCGUG
rnacentral:rRNA from 1 species